rnacentral:rRNA from 1 species
GAUGAACGCUGGCGGCGUGCUUAACACAUGCAAGUCGAACGAAGCACUUUUACAGAUUUCUUCGGAAUGAAGUUUUAGUGACUGAGUGGCGGACGGGUGAGUAACGCGUGGGUAACCUGCCUCACACAGGGGGAUAACAGUUGGAAACGGCUGCUAAUACCGCAUAAGCGCACAGUACCGCAUGGUACAGUGUGAAAAACUCCGGUGGUGUGAGAUGGACCCGCGUCUGAUUAGCUAGUUGGCAGGGCAACGGCCUACCAAGGCGACGAUCAGUAGCCGACCUGAGAGGGUGACCGGCCACAUUGGGACUGAGACACGGCCCAAACUCCUACGGGAGCAGCAGUGGGGAAUAUUGCACAAUGGGGAAACCCUGAUGCAGCGACGCCGCGUGAGCGAAGAAGUAUUCGGUAUGUAAAGCUCUAUCAGCAGGGAAGAAAAAAUGAACGGUACCU